GGGAAACUGGAAUUAAUACCGCAUACGCCCUACGGGGGAAAGAUUUAUCGGGGAAGGAUUGGCCCGCGUUGGAUUAGCUAGUUGGUGGGGUAAAGGCCUACCAAGGCGACGAUCCAUAGCUGGUCUGAGAGGAUGAUCAGCCACAUUGGGACUGAGACACGGCCCAAACUCCUACGGGAGGCAGCAGUGGGGAAUAUUGGACAAUGGGCGCAAGCCUGAUCCAGCCAUGCCGCGUGAGUGAUGAAGGCCUUAGGGUUGUAAAGCUCUUUCACCGGAGAAGAUAAUGACGGUAUCCGGAGAAGAAGCCCCGGCUAACUUCGUGCCAGCAGCCGCGGUAAUACGAAGGGGGCUAGCGUUGUUCGGAAUUACUGGGCGUAAAGCGCACGUAGGCGGAUAUUUAAGUCAGGGGUGAAAUCCCAGAGCUCAACUCUGGAACUGCCUUUGAUACUGGGUAUCUUGAGUAUGGAAGAGGUAAGUGGAAUUCCGAGUGUAGAGGU
rnacentral:rRNA from 1 species